CUAUUCAUAUACUAAGUACAAAAAUAUACUAAUUGUAAGUACAAUAAUAAGUACAAAAAAAUUCAAAACAUUGGUACUAUUUUUUCUAUAUUUUUUUAGCUAUUUUAUCCGUCAAGAUCGUCCUUUUCCAUAAGACAGAAAAGGAUAUCAUGUAAAAUCAGUGAAAAUUAAAAUAGUUAUAACUCAGCAACCGUUUAGUGGAUGCGUUUUCAAUUUUUUGCAGUACAUUAGGGAAACUAAAAGAACAAUUUGACCAAUUUUUAGCAACUUUGUACUAUUUUGAACUCCUGUCCGAUACAUCCUUAAGGAAGGACUGUAAGAUUAAAUAAGAGCAGAAUCUACCUUUACAAUUGAUAAUUGUGAUUAUUCGAUAAUUUUGAAUUGUGGUACUGUGUCCCUGGAGAUAGGGUAGAAUAAGAAGUCUCGUGUUUGCUCGUGCCUCGUGCCACGUUACGGGCUAGCGACCUAUAUAAAGAUACACGCACCAGGUACUUAUAGUCCAAGGUUUAGUUGUCUGACAAAGGACGUGCUGAAAAGCCAGCGAAUUUAUAAAUAAGUAUGUAAAAGUUGCAAAAACUGUAAUUGUUUUUAGAAAAAAAUAGCACAAUAAUAUUAUUUAUCGCUUGCAGCACUGAAAAUGGCACAUGAAUUUCUCGGUUGGGAACUGUUAUUAUUAAAAAGGGAGAUUAUCGACGUUGUAUAAACAGAAAGGAGUGGCGAAAUAAUCAUGGUCCGUUUAAUUUGUCGCAUGAAAUGUUUAUUAACUUAUACAGAGUUACUCCAGAUAUUGCUAUUGAUUUAAUUGAUAUUUUGGAACCAUGAUUGCAACGUCAACGUCUAUAUGGUCUUAGCGUAGAUCAGGUAUACGUUUAUUUAAAUACUUGUUUGUUAAAUUAAAAUGAUUUUUAUAUAAAUAAAAUCGAAAUCUCACGUAUAUCAUUAAAUAAAUAAUCACGUUUAGUAAAAUAUUUAUUUUGCAACUGUUGGAAAUUUUCUGAGCUGAAAUUGAAUUAGUCUUUCAAAUUUACAGGAAUGAUUCAAUCUAAGCAUAGAAAGUUUCCAACGGUUUCUAAGAAUUGAGUUUGCCAAACGCGGCAAAUAUUAAGUCAUUAUUUAACAUUAUUAUUUUGAUAAAAUUAUCGCAAUUUUAAGAGAGAAUAAAAGAGAACAAAAUAUUAUCACAUUUAUUGUGUCUUUAAAGUCAACUGUAGAGCAUUAUCGAGAAAAAAGAA